rnacentral:rRNA from 1 species
AUUGAACGCUGGCGGCAUGCUUUACACAUGCAAGUCGAACGAGGGGCGGACGGGUGAGUAAUGUAGGGGAACGUGCCCCGUAGCGGGGGAUAACUACUGAAAAGGGUGGCUAAUACCGCAUCCGAUUGGAGCGGCCGAUAUUGGAUUAGCUAGUUGGUGGGGUAAAGGCUCACCCAGGCAACGAUGCGUAGAUGGUGUGAGAGGACGACCAGCCACACUGGGACUGAGACACGGCCCAGCCUCCUACGGUAGGCAGCAGUGGGGAAUUUUGGACAAUGGGCGAAACCCUGAUGCAGCCAUCCCGCGUGUAUGAGAAGGCCUUAGGGUUGUAAAGUACUUUUGGCAGUGAAGCGGUAUCUGCAGAAUAAGCACCGGCUAACUACGUGCCAGCAGCCGCGGUAAUAC